CACGCAGGGCGCAAGCGUUGUCCGGAAUUAUUGGGCGUAAAGAGCUCGUAGGCGGUCUGUUGCGUCUGCUGUGAAAACUCGGGGCUUAACCCCGAGCCUGCAGUGGAUACGGGCAGACUAGAGGUAGGUAGGGGAGAAUGGAAUUCCCGGUGUAGCGGUGAAAUGCGCAGAUAUCGGGAGGAACACCGGUGGCGAAGGCGGUUCUCUGGGCCUUACCUGACGCUGAGGAGCGAAAGCGUGGGGAGCGAACAGG
rnacentral:rRNA from 1 species